ACUCCUACGGGAGGCAGCAGUGGGGAAUAUUGGACAAUGGGCGCAAGCCUGAUCCAGCCAUGCCGCGUGAGUGAUGAAGGCCCUAGGGUUGUAAAGCUCUUUCACCGGUGAAGAUAAUGACGGUAACCGGAGAAGAACGCCCCGGCUAACUUCGUGCCAGCAGCCGCGGUAAUACGAAGGGGCUAGCGUUGUUCGGAUUUACUGGGCGUAAAGCGCACGUAGGCGGUACUUUUAAGUCAGGGUGAAAUCCCGGGGCUCAACCCCGGAACUGCCUUUGAUACUGGAAGUCUUGAGUAUGGUAGAGGUGAGUGGAAUUCCGAGUGUAGAGGUGAAAUUCGUAGAUAUUCGGAGGAACACCAGUGGCGAAGGCGGCUCACUGGACCAUUACUGACGCUGAGGUGCGAAAGCGUGGGAGCAAACAGGAUUAGAUACCCUGGUAGGAUAGCG
rnacentral:rRNA from 1 species